rnacentral:rRNA from 1 species
CUAUUCCUUUGUGUCAAGUUGGUGCCAGCAUCGCGGAAUUUAGUCAAAGUCUGGUGCAGCAGCCGCGGUAAUUCCAGCUCCAUCUCACAUGUGGGGACCAGAGCCGCGGAAAUCCCGCUGUCAAAAUACAGAGAAUUAGUGCCGGGGAUAAAAAUCUUGUAGUGAUAUGUGUUGUAGGUGUCGUGUCCGCCCUCUGGGUGUGCACAGUUGCACGCCCCUUUCCCUCCGGUCUCUUCCGUAUGUGGCCUUUAACCGGCUGGGCCUGCGGGCGGGCAGUUUUACUUUAAACAAAUCAGAGCGCUUCAAACGGGCGCCUCCCUGGAACGUUCGUGCAGGAAAAAAUAAAGACGGAUCACGGUCCGAUUUUUUUGUUUUUGCCGACCGGGAUAAUGUUUAAGGGAGGCAAAGGGGCCCUUUUAUUUUGCCGUUAGAGGGGGAAAUUUUUGGGCCUGGCAAAAGGGGCCAAAGCGAAAACCCUUUCCAAAAAAAUUUUUUCUUAUCAAAAAAAAAAAAUUGAGGGUUGAAAAGGGUCAGAUACCCCCCCAGUUUUAACCCCAAAAGAGGCCCCAAAGGGAUUUCCCCCCGUUGAUUCUUUGACUCGGCGGGGAGCUUCCCGGAAACCAAAGUCUUCCGGUUCCGGGGGAAGUAUGGUUGCAAAGCUGAAACUUAAAGGAAUUGACGGAAGGGCACCACCAGGAGUGGAGCCUGCGGCUUAAUUUGACUCAACACGGGGAAACUCACCCGGCCCGGACACCGUAAGGAUUGACAGAUUGAUAGCUUUUUCAUGAUUCGGUGGGUGGUGGUGUA